rnacentral:misc_RNA from 1 species
AAGAGUUAGGGUCUUCCAGGCCCGAUCUCCCAACCCUGUGUUUACUCAACCGUUAUGUUGCUUCGGCGAGCCCGUCUUCACUGACCGCCGGGGGAUCUGUCCAGGUCUCCUGGCCCGCGCUUACCGGUGGCCCAACCUUUAAACUCUUAACUAAACGUGUCGUGACUAAGUAUCAAUUUUUUAAAUUAAACGCA